AGCAAUCAUACAAAGUUUCGACGGAUAGGGAUGAGUCUGCGUCUGAUUAGGUAGUUGGUGAGGUAACGGCUCACCAAGCCGACGAUCAGUAACUGGUCUGAGAGGACGAACAGUCACACUGGAACUGAGACACGGUCCAGACUCCUACGGGAGGCAGCAGUGAGGAAUAUUGCACAAUGGGAGCAAUCCUGAUGCAGCGACGCCGCGUGCGGGAUGAAGGGGCUUAGCCUCGUAAACCGCUGUCGGAGGGGACGAAUGGUACAUUUGGUGUACUGAGACGGUACCCUCAAAGGAAGGAUCGGCUAACUACGUG
rnacentral:rRNA from 1 species